rnacentral:rRNA from 1 species
GAUGAACGCUGGCGGCGUGCCUAAUACAUGCAAGUCGAGCGAACGGACGAGAAGCUUGCUUCUCUGAUGUUAGCGGCGGACGGGUGAGUAACACGUGGAUAACCUACCUAUAAGACUGGGAUAACUUCGUGAAACCGGAGCUAAUACCGGAUGAUAUUUUGAACCGCAUGGUUCAAAAGUGAAAGACGGUCUUGCUGUCACUUAUAGAUGGAUCCGCGCUGCAUUAGCUAGUUGGUAAGGUAACGGCUUACCAAGGCAACGAUGCAUAGCCGACCUGAAAGGGUGAUCGGACACACUGGAACUGAGAAAGGGUCCAGACUCCUACGGGAGGCAGCAGUAGGGAAUCUUACGCAAUGGGCGAAAGCCUGACGGAGCAACGCCGCGUGAGUGAUGAAGGUCUUCGGAUCGUAAAACUCUGUUAUUAGGGAAGAACAUAUGUGUAAGUAACUGUGCACAUCUUGACGGUACCUAAUCAGAAAGCCACGGCUAACUACGUG